rnacentral:rRNA from 1 species
UACGAAGGGGGGCUAGCGUUGCUCGGAAUCACUGGGCGUAAAGCGCACGUAGGCGGACUCUUAAGUCGGUGGUGAAAUCCUGGAGCUCAACUCCAGAACUGCCUUCGAUACUGAGAGUCUCGAGUCCGGGAGAGGUGAGUGGAACUGCGAGUGUAGAGGUGAAAUUCGUAGAUAUUCGCAAGAACACCAGUGGCGAAGGCGGCUUUCUGGGCCUUACCUGACGCUGAGACGCGAAAGCGUGGGGAGCGAACCGGG